UUAAGUUCAUAUUAAAUAUGGACCAACCAAAGUUUUCAGUCUAUCAUUAUAUCUAUCUUCCCUAUCCCUUCUCACACCAAAGAUAAAAAAAAAGCCAGACAAAUAGUUGGACAAAUGAAGUCAAUAGCUUUUUCCGUCCUUCUGCUCCUUGCCGUCGCAACCUCAGGGAAUAUGCUAAAUGGCUGGCAAAAUCUCACGGGUGUUCAUGAAGAUGGUGAAGAAGUAAUUUGGGUCUCCCUUGUGCUGGAUCAGAAGAACUAUAUAACCUAUCCCGCCUUGAACCGUCCGCCGGUAUGUAAGUCUUCAAUGAAUCAUCUCUGCACCCCAAUCUAUAGUCAGCAGAACAGCCAAUGUACCAUCUACAACCGAUGCAAACAUGGGUCUACGGGCAGCUCAUAAGUCAUAACAGACAUGAAAUAUAUGUUUAUGUCAGCUUUAAAAAAUAAUAUGUCGCUUAUAAGUGUUUGGGAAGGGAAUCUUGUAAUAAAGGUCUGUUUGUAAUCGGUUUAGCGUGUUUUUUUCCUUCUUUUUUAGGAUUAGCCUGUUAUUCCUUACUAGUUCUCUUUGAUGUUAGGAAGUCAUAUUCAAAUAAUGGCUAUUUUCCGCGGCUCGUCCUUGUCUCCUCCAGCCUUCUUUCAUGUGAUCUAUUGUGCUAUGCGUGACAGGCUCUUGUCUUUCCCCUCAGCGACUGUGUCUUCUCUGUCUCUGCUUCAGCUAUAUUUUUGGUUCAUCUCUCCUUAUAGUUAAUUGUGUCUUUCUUCUUGUUCUCUCUUGUAAUAAGUGGUUUGCCAAAAACCAUGUAAAAUUCAAAAAAUGGGUAUGAAUCUUAACAUUUACAUCCAAAAAAAUGAUGGCUAUCUAGAUUGUUGACUUUUUUUUAACGAUAUUUAUUAUGAUCUUACAAUUAUGAUAUGAGAAAGACAAUGAAUGGUAGCUAAGGUUUUUGACCAAGAAAAAAAAACUCAGACAACAAAAAUUAAGAAAAUUAUUUUUAAAUUAAUUAACUAAAUUUUUAUUUCUGUUAAUCUACAUUGCAACUAUACACAAAAUGUAUAAUAACAUUUUUUUGAAAAAUUAGUAUUAUAUAUAAUUAGUUUACCGAUUCUUAUUCUUCUCAGAAUUUCUCAGUGCAAAUCUCUUAUCAAAAUUCUCUAACCGGGAUGGACCAUUAAGCGUGGUGCAUUUAAAAUAGAAAAUUUGCUAUGUAUUAUUUUUGGUAAAACAAUUGGUAGGCACGAGCGUUUGAGUGUCCAACCAGUUCAGUUCAGAGUUAAUUCGGAUUCAGAUUUUUUGGGAGCACAAAUUUAGUUUUAUUAGGAUAUUAUAAAAGUUUGGUUCGGGUUUAUUCUGUGUGGUUCGGAUAUAUAUUAACAUAUUAUAACCCGGUUGAACCCGUUUUAAAUUCGAUUUUGGUUAUAAUUUGGGUUUUAAUUAUCCAUAUACUUAUUAUGACUCGAAAAUACAUAUUUAAGUUUUCAUCAAUUUCAACAAUCUAACAAUACUAAAAGUUAAAUAACUAAAGCAGAGAGAGUGUCCACGUAAUCAAAUUAAAUCGACCAAUAGGAAACCGUUAUGUAGCCACGUCAAUAAUUUCCAAGACCGAAGACAGUUAUUUCCCAGUUCUCUGAUUCAACGUGACCCACUUUCAUAAAAACCCAUCACUUGGCCCAACUGCUACGAUAGGGAUCACCGACUCUUCUCUUCACCUUCUUCAAUUCUGUAGUCUCUGCAAAUUGCCAUUAAGUUGAAAUUAAGUCGACCCACUCUUUCACAUUUAAUAAGUUUCAUUACUCCUUACAAAGUCAGAGAUGUUAGCGUUCCCACUCUCAUUGUUCUUUGUUUAUAUAAACUAUACUUCUCUGAAUCUCAUCUACUGUGUAUUCAAAACCCUUUCCUCUUCCUCUCAGCUGAAAUCUAUUCAAUCGCUCACACGCACACACCUUUAGGGUUUCAAUUUCGAUUAAAGUACAAACGGAAACCCAUCCUUUGAUUCGUCUUCGGAAUGCUCUGAGAUUGUCGUCCAAGUUGUAGAUCUCAAGCCUAUCAGCAAUCGAUAUACGUAAGUUUCGAACUUUUGACUAUACAUCAGUGUUCAUCCUCCACUGACACCAUCUCUGAGUUCACUAAUUUCAUCAAUAAAUUGGAUUGUAGUUUCACAAUCGUCUAUGAUUCCAUGGUAUCGAUCUGCGUUUACAUGUUUUCUUGUGGUUUACAUGUUUAGUGCGAAUGAUGGAAAGACGAAAGUGAAAGCUAUGUUUACAGCUUCACUAACGCAUUAAAUCAUUCCUGGGAAGAUCCAGAAUCUAAGUCUGAUUCAUCUCCUCAGUUUCACUGUUAAUGACAUCUCAAGCAAAUCGACAACAUAUUCGAUGUCUGCUUUGUUGUUUUCUUCACUUAUUGGUUGUAGCUCAGAUAAGAAGAUAUGGGAUUAUUGCAUUGAUUUUUUAUAAGAGGUGGCUAUAUUAGAAUAGGUUGGCUUAUUUUUAAAUGUUAUCAUCAUUAUGAUUUUUGUCUCUGAUAUAUAUGUUUUUAUUUUGAUAUAUCAGCCACUAACCUACAACACAAUGCAAAAGCUGUGGAAUCUACGAGGAGAGACCACUUUUAUAUAUGAUUCAUUUGACGAAUGAGAGUUUUGUCCCUCUGAUUUCACAGCUGAGAGUAAAUACGUACACGUCAAGGACAACAAAUUCAAUGCUACUUUUCUCUGCCAUGGAUGCCACACAAGUUGGGGAUGAUGAAGCAUCCAUCCAUGAAGUUUUCCUGGACAGUUUGUCUUGAAGUUUUCGUUGCCACACUGAAGACUCUCCAACUAUUGAGAGAGAUCUUUCUGAAGGCUCUAUCGGUCCCCAUGGACUGCAACAUUUUCCAGGCUAAUCAAACAUGUAGGCACAGCUGAACGUGCAAACUCUAGCACGGCUCUAUUGUUGUUGUUUCUCUCUUCUACUUCAGAGCAAAAUGUAUACUCCUUUGGCGAGGGGGCUUUCGUUUCGGCAAGAUUGCUCAACUUUCUUCUUAGUAAAAAUGGUACACAGUAGGUAGAUUUGUUCACUUUCCUCUCUUUCUGAAUCUUGAAUAAAUCUGUCUUAAAUACUAAACUCAGUUGUUGCAUAGUUUGAGAGUGAGCUAAGUUUACUUCUGGCUAAUAUACAUGUUAAUGUUUGAAUCUCAUAUUCAAUGUUCA